GACGUAGGGCGCGAGCGUUGUCCGGAUUUAUUGGGCGUAAAGAGCUCGUAGGCGGCCAACUAAGUCAGACGUGAAAUCCCUCGGCUUAACCGGGGAACUGCGUCUGAUACUGGAUGGCUUGAAUCCGGGAGAGGGAUGCGGAAUUCCUGGUGUAGCGGCGAAAUGCGCAGAUAUCAGGAAGAACACCCGUGGCUAAGGCGGCUCUCUAGUACGGUACUGACGCUGAGACGCGAAAGCGUGGGGAGCGAACAGG
rnacentral:rRNA from 1 species